rnacentral:rRNA from 1 species
AUUGAACGCUGGCGGCAGGCCUAACACAUGCAAGUCGAGCGGAGCGGCGGACGGGUGAGUAAUGCCUAGGAAUCUGCCUGGUAGUGGGGGAUAACGUCCGUAAACGGGCGCUAAUACCGCAUCCUAUCAUAUGAGCCUAGGUCGGAUUAGCUAGUGGGUGGGGUAAUGGCCUACCAAGGCGACGAUCCGUACCUGGUCUGAGAGGAUGAUCAGUAACACUGGAAAUGAGACAAGGUGCAGAAUCCUACGGGAGGCAGCAGUGGGGAAUAUUGGACAAUGGGCGAAAGCCUGAUGCAGCCAUGCCGCGUGUGUGAAGAAGGUCUUCGGAUUGUAAAGCACGUUAAGUUGGGAGGCGGUACCAACAGAAUAAGCACCGGCUAACUUCGUGCCAGCAGCCGCGGUAAUAC